GAGACAGCAGUAGCCGCGGUAAUACGAAGGGUGCAAGCGUUAAUCGGAAUUACUGGGCGUAAAGCGUGCGUAGGCGGUGAGUUAAGUCUGCUGUGAGAUCCCCGGGCUCAACCUGGGAAUGGCAGUGGAUACUGGCUCGCUAGAGUGUGUCAGAGGAUGGUGGAAUUCCCGGUGUAGCGGUGAAAUGCGUAGAGAUCGGGAGGAACAUCAGUGGCGAAGGCGGCCAUCUGGGACAACACUGACGCUGAGGCACGAAAGCGUGGGGAGCAAACAGGAUUAGAUACCCCCGUAGUCCCUGUCUCUUAUAC
rnacentral:rRNA from 1 species